rnacentral:rRNA from 1 species
UACGUAGGGGGCAAGCGUUGUCCGGAUUUAUUGGGCGUAAAGAGCGUGUAGGCGGCCAGGGAGGUCCGUUGCGAAAACUCGAGGCUCAACCUCGAGACGCCGAUGGAAACCCCCUGGCUAGAGUCCGGAAGAGGAGAAUGGAAUUCCUGGUGUAGCGGUGAAAUGCGCAGAUAUCAGGAAGAACACCCGUGGCUAAGGCGGUUCUCUAGUACGGUACUGACGCUGAGACGCGAAAGCGUGGGGAGCGAACAGG